UACGUAGGGUGCGAGCGUUAAUCGGAAUUACUGGGCGUAAAGUGUGCGCAGGUGGCCGCGCAUGUCGAGUGUGAAAUCCCCGGGCUUAACUUGGGAAUUGCGCUCGAAACUACGUGGCUCGAGUGUGGCAGAGGAAGGUGGAAUUCCACGUGUAGCGGUGAAAUGCGUAGAGAUGUGGAGGAACACCGAUGGCGAAGGCAGCCUUCUGGGCC
rnacentral:rRNA from 1 species